rnacentral:rRNA from 1 species
UACGUAGGGUGCAAGCGUUGUCCGGAAUUAUUGGGCGUAAAGAGCUUGUAGGCGGUUUGUCGCGUCUGCUGUGAAAUUUUCGGGGGCUCAACCCCCGAACUUGCAGUGGGUACGGGCAGACUAGAGUGUGGUAGGGGGAGACUGGAAUUCCUGGUGUAGCGGUGAAAUGCGCAGAUAUCAGGAGGAACACCGGUGGCGAAGGCGGGGUCUCUGGGCAACUACUGACGCUGAGACGCGAAAAGCGUGGGGGAGCGAACAGG